UUAGAGGGUUUCGUCUCCACAGAUGCCCAUAUUGGAUCAGGCCUUCCAUUACUGUAUCUGACCAUAAUGGUGUUCUGUUCUCCACUAAAGUACAUCCAAGAACCAAGAGUCUCUCGCCAGAAGAUUUUUGGUUUACUGCACCAAAGAAGGGGAUAAUGGUCUUUGCCUUGCCUGGGGAGCCUGGUCUAGCUGAGUUAUGUGGGGACUUCAAGGUUCAUUUUCACGACCGCCAAGGAGAUUUCUAUUGUUGGCUAAACACAACCAUGACCGAAAAUCGGAAAAUGCUGUACACGAAUGAUCUUGAUGGGUUUGACAAGAGGAAACUACCUUCCCCCGGAUUUCAGGUGGAGGUUGUUCUAGUUGAUACGUCGCCCAACAUGGACAAUACUACCAAGAAGUCGGAUGAAAGCUCAGGCUCAAGACCUUCUGCAGCUGAUGGAAGUGAAGUUUCUGAGAACCAAAACAGAAAAUCAGGAACUAAUGAUAGAGAUGAUGUAUUUUCUGAUAGUGAAUCAGAAGGUGGUUCUUCAAAGAGCAAGAAGGAGGCAACUUCAGG
rnacentral:misc_RNA from 1 species